GAAGCGAGGCUGUGAAGCGGAGCAAAUCUCAAAAACCGGUCCCAGUUCGGAUUGUAGGCUGCAACUCGCCUACAUGAAGUCGGAGUUGCUAGUAAUCGCGGAUCAGAAUGCCGCGGUGAAUGCGUUCCCGGGUCUUGUACACACCGCCCGUCACACCAUGGAAGUUGGGGGCGCCCGAAGUUGCCUAAGAAAUAAGGUACCUAAGGCGAAACCAAUGACUGGGGUGAAGUCGUAACAAGGUACC
rnacentral:rRNA from 1 species